rnacentral:tRNA from 1 species
GCGCGCGUAGCUCAAUUGGUAGAGCAGGCGUCUUAUACACGCCCGGUUCCAGGUCCGAGUCCUGGCGCGCGCA